AUAGAAAGAAGGGUGCCAGGUGCAGAGACAGUGAAGCUCCUAUUACACACAAAUCGAGUGAGUGAGAACGACUCCUGCCCAGCGCCCUCCCAGGUAUCCUGGGCUCCCCGGACACCGGAGCUGCCCUGCAGGGCCCCUCCAGUCGCCCCUGACAGCCCUGCCCCAGCCCUGCUCUGCCCACACUCUGCCCACAGUUCACCCCAUCAGAGUCUACUCUCUUCACACCUUCAUCUUCACUGGCAUUUUAUGAAACUGUUAAGGGCUUCCCUGGUGGUUCAGCUGGUAAAGAAAGUGAAAAGUGAAGUGAAAGUGAAGUCGCUCAGUCGUGUCCGACUCCUUGUGACCCCAUGGGCUGUAGCCCAUCAGGCUUCUCAGUCCAUGGGAUUUUCCAGGCAAGAGUACUGGAGUGGGUUGCCAUUCCCUUCUCCAGGGGAUCUUCCUGACCCAGGGAUUGAAUCCGGGUCUCCUGCAUUGUAGGCAGACACUUUACCCUCUGAUCCACCAGGGAAGCCCCAGCUGGUAAAGUAUCUGCCUAUAAUGUGGGAGACCCAGGUUUGAUCCCUGAGUCAGGAAGAGCCCCUGGAGGAGGGAACAGCUACCCAUUCCAGUAUUCUGGCCUGGAGAAUUCCAAGGGGCUGCAAAGAGUCAGACACAACUGAGAGACUUUCAAUCACUUCACUUCCUCUUAAGGCCUAAGUAAUCAAUGUAGUACCUGUUCUAUGGAUGCUUACAUGUUGAAUAAGAUGUUUAAAGAGAACCAUUUCACCCAAAUUCCUCUAAUGGUAAAAUUCUAGGUAUGACAGUAAGUGAACUCCAGCUUUUAGAUACAGAGCCCCUUCCACACUCCUCCAAUCCCAUCACACUGACCAUUUCCCACUUCAUUUGUUUCAUAAGCUGACCCUCCCCUACAGUGGAGUAAGACAGACCCUGCUCUGGUAGAAAUGAAGGUUAACAUCGACAUAAUAAUGUGCAAAGUCCAGCUUCUCAGUCUGUCAAUUCACCUGGGUCAGAACCAAACUCUGUGGAGGAUGAUGGACCCUUCUCCUUUCAUUUCUGGUCAGCGCUUACUUAAGAAGGGAAUAUGCUAACAUUAUCUCCAGAGUCUGCACCUAAGCAGGGGAGAGUGUGGGAGAAGUCAGCCUCAGGACAUUCCUUUCUCUGUAGAAGCCCGAAGUGCAUAUCCCAGUAUCUCCAAGAAUGUCCCAAAGCAUUUAAUAAUCAGUAUCUGUAACACCUUCCUAAAAAUAAUGGCUUCAGAACUGACUCUUACACCGUUGACAAAGGACUCUCUGAUUUGGUCCCAUCCAAGAUUAGAAAGAGCCUUACUGUAACAUGUGUCAAGAUAAAAACUGAAGUGGGUCCAAUGGGAUAAAAGCCAGCCCUUCACAACCAAGUAUCUGAGAGGCCAAGAAAACAACAGGUAAGGCAGGCCCCCAGACAUGGCUGAUAACACAGGCUCAGAUAGACAGGUUUCCAUUGAUGUUCCUCGAAAGUGGGAUUUCAAGAACCUGCUCAAUUAUAAAAACCAUCUAGACAGUCUGUAAAACAUUCAGAUUCCCAGGACCCGUACCAAACCAACCAACUCAAAGCUCCAGGGUAGGGUCUGAAACACAUCCAGG
ensembl:lncRNA